rnacentral:lncRNA from 1 species
GGAAAGCCCUGUGCUGGGAAACACCUUGAUCAGGCCUCUGUAUCCAGUGAGACUGUGCCUGCUCCUCUUCCAAGUCUGUGCCCCUAGAAGUCUCUGGAAACAGCGUCCAUAUCUAUCCAUCUGCACAUCCUAUCAGAAUGCUAACUACUCUACUCUAUGGCGAUUCAGAUGUUUCACUGCGGUUAGAUACAUCAAAGAGGCCGAUGACUUUGCAAACACACAGCAGCAGGAAGAGAAAAAAAAGAAUACACAACAAACAAACAAACAAACAAACAAAAACAAAGAAAAUGUUUUAUCGCAAGAAAAAUAGCCAGAGCUAGGGAAAAGUACCCAAACCAUACAGAAUUAGAAACAUCCAGACACAGAGACUGAGGACUCUGGGAGCAACGCGCUACCAACAGGACUAAGACACCCAGGUAGUUUGCACAUGAAAUUAUGUAAUUCCUGGUUCAGAAACAAUACAGAGGCCUAGCUCUCUGUGCUGCGAGCCCAGUGUUCUUCAUACCCGGAACCCCAGUCUGUUCUCUGUAUAGCAGAAUAUUCAAAAUUAGGCAGUUUCUCUUCUCUUCCUUUCCUUUCCUUUCCUUUCCUUUCCUUUCCUUUCCUUUCCUUUCCUUUCCUUUUCUUUUCUUUUAGAUAGGGUUUCCCUGUGUAGCCUUGGCUAUCCUAGAACUCACUCUGUAGACCAGGCUGGCCUUGAACUCAGAAAUCUGCCUGCCUCUGCCUCCCAAGUGCUGGGAUUAAAGGCGUGUGCCACCACACCCGGCUUCUUUUUUUUUGUUGUUGUUUGUUUGUUUUAAAAAGUUUAUUUUGUUUCACAGAUUGGUAAAUCCAAAAGCAUGGUGUUCUAAUUUUAUAGGCUUCUGUAACAGGCCUCAUGAUAUUUCAACUCACGGAAGAACAUGAAAAGACAGUAAGUGUGCUGGGAAGAAGGAAGGGACAAAGCAGGUUACCCAAACCUGCUCUCAAGACAACUAAGACAUCCAUGUGGGAGCAGAAUUCAGCCCUUUGUGAGAAUGGAGUCCCUAAUCCAAGCCCCUGGAAGGUUCCUCGACUACAUAGAGGACCAGCCUCAGUAUGAAUUAUGUUAGGGAUAAACCAUCCAUAAUAGCACCACACUCUAGCUUUCUACCACACAAUACAGUUUCUGAUAGAAAAACAUUAAUGAAAUUCCAGAAAAAAUUAACUACACAAAUUAAAUACUACAAUAAUAUACGUGGAGAUGAAUUAUGUACACUAAAACUCUUCACGGAAUUACCGGUAAGAAGGUAUAUGUGUGAUUCCCUCCCUGUGACCUGAGACAUUUCUUUUCUAAGCUUGGCCUAUAAAUAAUAAUCAUUCAACAAAGUUGAAACUACCAUAUCCUGCUUUG